GAUGAACGCUGGCGGCGUGCCUAAUACAUGCAAGUCGAGCGAACAGAUGAGAAGCUUGCUCUUCUGACGUUAGCGGCGGACGGGUGAGUAACACGUGGAUAACCUACCUAUAAGACUGGGAUAACUUCGGGAAACCGGAGCUAAUACCGGAUAAUAUAUUGAACCGCAUGGUUCAAUAGUGAAAGACGGUUUUGCUGUCACUUAUAGAUGGAUCCGCGCUGCAUUAGCUAGUUGGUAAGGUAACGGCUUACCAAGGCAACGAUGCGUAGCCGACCUGAGAGGGUGAUCGGCCACACUGGAACUGAGACACGGUCCAGACUCCUACGGGAGGCAGCAGUAGGGAAUCUUCCGCAAUGGGCGAAAGCCUGACGGAGCAACGCCGCGUGAGUGAUGAAGGUCUUCGGAUCGUAAAACUCUGUUAUUAGGGAAGAACAAAUGUGUAAGUAACUGUGCACAUCUUGACGGUACCUAAUCAGAAAGCCACGGCUAACUACGUG
rnacentral:rRNA from 1 species